rnacentral:rRNA from 1 species
CGAAAGCCUGACGGAGCAAGACCGCGUGGGGGAAGAAGGCUCUUGGGUUGUCAACCCCUUUUCUCAGGGAAGAAGUUCUGACGGUACCUGAGGAAUAAGCAUCGGCUAACUCCGUGCCAGCAGCCGCGGUAAGACGGAGGAUGCAAGCGUUAUCCGGAAUUAUUGGGCGUAAAGCGUCCGUAGGUGGCUUUUCAAGUCGGCGGUCAAAGACCGGGGCUUAACUCCGGAAAGGCCGUGGAAACUGAAAGGCUAGAGAAAGGUAGGGGUAGGGGGAAUUCCCGGUGUAGCGGUGAAAUGCGUAGAGAUCGGGAAGAACACCGGUGGCGCAAGCGCCCUACUGGACCUUAUCUGACACUGAGGGACGAAAGCUAGGGGAGCG